GGUUUUACUCGCUAGCACUGGCGCCUUUAACUCGGUAUAUUUACUAAAUACCGAUUGUAAGAAACAAAUCCUAAACUAAAACAUUAUUCAUAUACUGAAUACAAAUGGUAAUCCAGCAGGUGGCGCCAGAACAGCAGGAAUAACGGUGUUGCCUUAGUUACGGCAGUAAAUGACAGAAGUCGAGCAGGAUUUUAUCGAUUUCAUAAACUACACAGCGCCCCAAUAUUCGCAGCUUAAAUUCAGCUCAACAGAUUGUGUUUGGUCCCUAAUGUGGACACAGAUAUAG
rnacentral:lncRNA from 1 species